rnacentral:miRNA from 8 species
CUGGUAACCAGCGUUGUGCCCC